GAUGAACGCUGGCGGCGUGCCUAAUACAUGCAAGUCGAGCGAACAGACCAGGAGCUUGCUCCUCUGACGUUAUCGGCGGACGGGAGAGUAACACGUGGAUAACCUACCUAUAAGACUGGGAUAACUUCGGGAAACCGGAGCUAAUACCGGAUAAUAUAUUGAACUGCAUGGUUCAAUAGUUAAAGACGGUUUUGCUUUCACUUAUAGACGGAUACGCCUCGCAUUCGUUAGUUGGUAAGGUAACGGCUUACCCAGGCAACGAUGCGUAGACGGCCUGAGAGGGUGGUCCGCCACCCUGGCACUGAGACACGGUCCAGACUCCUACGGGAGGCAGCAGUAGGGAAUCUUCCGCAAUGGGCGAAAGCUUGACGGAGCAACGCCGCGUGAGUGCUGAAGGUCUUCGGAUCGUAAAACUAUGUUAUUAGGGAAGAACAAAUGUGUAAGUACCUAUGCACGUCUUGACGGUACCUAAUCAGAAAGCCACGGCUAACUCCGUG
rnacentral:rRNA from 1 species